UUCAGAAGCGAAGAGGUGCAAUUUGUUCAUCUCUCAGGUUCUUCCUCGCUCUGUGAAAUCUUUCUGAAGCUUAGUUCUCAGUAACUAAUACUGCGAGGAGGAAAGGAGGGCCGGAGGAAGGGAAGGAAGGGGAAGAAAGAGACAGAAAGAGGAACGUUCGCAGGAAAAGCAGGAAAGACAGAGGGAUGAGCUAAUACUGGCUUGGCUGAUGGGGCUGGCUGUCUGCAGCCCCUGUGUGCAGUUCCCCUGAGGUCAGCGGCAGCCUCGGGCUUCAGCCCUCAAACCCAGGCUGCACGAACUUGGGCCAGUCGGUUAACCUCUUCUUGCCCCUUGAUUUCAUCUGCACAAUGGGAGGUAGUCAUACCACGUCACAGGGAUGUGUGGGUGCAUGGAGAAAAUUCUAAGAAUGGAAAGAUCCUGGAGAGUCAAGAAGAAGGCAGAGCUGCAGAAAGACGAGAAGGGAAAGGAUAGUUGGAUCUGAAAAUGGGACGGAAAGGUGCUUAUGCCACUGAGCUAAAUCCCCAGCCCCGAAAAUGCUGAUCUUGAGCAGUGGUUUCCAGAAUGUGUUAUCGACCCCUGAAGGACUACAGGAGAAACAGUUUACUAAAACAAAGGGUAAGCUUUGUCCAGCAACAGUACAUAGCCAAUGAGGUGUAUCCAAGGUGCUAUUAUUACUAAUUAAAAUAAAGGAUAAAAAAAGUUUUAAAAA